GCGUGCCAGGUACUAAAUUAAUUGUCACCUUGGAAGUGAUGGACAUUCUAUCGUAACCUCAUAAUCUUUGAGUUGCGAAUUACUUACGUGGAAUUUUUAGUUAAUUCGAGAGACCAGUAAUACAUAAAACAUACAUAUUUGAUAACUUUUUGGCCAAUAGAACAACACAAUUAUCUACAAUUCUGCCGAGUUUUUCAGUUAGUUUCGACGAGUGCCAAUUUUUCUGAAAGCUUCCUAACCUGGAAAUCUCUUCCUUCAAAAAGUGUCAAAAUCUGUAGUGCGUAUUACAAAAAAUUCGCAACGACCUGGUCUACCAGAAUUUCAAAAUAAAUUCCCAGAGCAGGAUAAUUACUUAAUAAUCAUGCUGGAUAAUAAAAGCCAGGCUGCUCAAUUUCUGGAUGCUACCUUUCUACCCUUCCCCCCAAACAAGAGUCCCCCUCCACCGUAUCACAAUUAUGAUGCUAAUUACAAGUCGUCCCCACAACCACACCCACAGCAAAAUAUAAACGUGCACAUGUCCUCCCUAUUUCGAACCGAACCUCAGAUUUUCUAUAUUCAUCAAGAGAAAAAUGCUACCCUUGGGGGUGGUGCUCCCCCCGGGGAAAAAAUCGCACCGGCCGCCGGUCCCAAGAUUGAGGUUGUCACAGGUUUAAUGCUGGAUUACAAAGCGAGGAGGGUGCUAUUCGUGAGGAAAAUUUUCUCCGUGUUGUUCUUCCACAUGCUUAUUACCAUUGGGGGCAUGAUUUUUGCAAGAUCAAAAACCACCCCAAAUCAUAACGUGUUUCGCUCCGACAUCGCUAAUUAUGCUGCCAUCGGGGCCACAAUAAUCGGUGUGGUGACCUUAAUUACCUGCUUCAUUUGCAAACCGUGGCGUAAUCGGUGGUGGAUGAAGGCAACGUUAUCGAGCUGCGUCAUAUAUUUGGCGGUGUGUGCCGUCGCGACUACCCCGUAUUUUUAACCAAAUUUUUCUCACAGUGACACUUAUUACCAGUGCGUCUUAUUCUUUUCCGUGUUGGCCGGCAUAUUUGGUUCAAGCUUCAUAUUCACCUUCCAACCCUGGUUGGACUUCAACCCUUUGACGGGAAUCAGCCUGGCCCUGGUGUCCUCCGCGGUCGUGAUUUCUUCAAUGUGGGGCAUGGUGAAGAGCGAAAUUAAGGCCCAGAACGUAUCCCAGCAACCGGACGGAAGUGACGUACCGGAGAAACAGGAGGGAAGCGAAGUUAUCGAGUUUGCCCUGGCCGCUGUCCUCAUCGGGAUUUGCAUCGUGGUCUUGACAUGCCACGUGAUGGUGUCCGUUAUCGGUAACUUUCUAUCUUCAAGGAAAUUUGUGGGUGUGGCCAGACCGCCCGAAGUUUGAAAGAUUACACAAGUCAUGUACGCCUUGAUAAGUAUUCCGUUAUUAAAGUUUGGAUUGAAGGAGAGCUAAAAUUGUGUUAAAAACUUAAACUUUUUGCAACGUUAAUUAUUAAUUAAGCUACCACUUGAUUAAUUACUCAGGAUAAAAUAGUUUUUAAAAUUAUGAAUGAUCAAGCCCCUUUCUAGGAAUUGCGCAAUCUCCCGAUUGCGUUUCGCUGCUUAUAAGGAAACAUCGCGAAAUUUUUAACAUCUGGCAAUAGAAUUUCAGGGAUAUUUAUUACAGAUUUAUUUAAUGACUUAAACAUGUUAAAAUUUACACAAGGAUUUGUAAGGGGAAGUUUGAAAGUAUUGUAAGAGUAAAAAUAGGCUUCGAAACAAGAUCAAUUGGUUUCCAGGAAUGUGAAUAGUAAAACCGGAAACUUCAAGGGUUCAAGAUCUAUUCUGCAAAAUAAUCCUUGAAAAUAGCUUAAUUUAAUGCAAAAAUUGCGCAAUAAAAGUUACAUGUUUCAAAUUAAUUAAAGAA